AUCAUUAUUUGUGGUGUCCAAUUCCAGCCGGGAUUAGGAAGAUUAGAUUUGCCAGAUAGCUUCCAGCAGAUUCUGUUCCCCGAGGCAGUUGAUCACGGCUGACGGGAUAACUGACCACUGGAUCGAUGAACAGAAAUUCACUGAGAUGACAUAGGGAGGGCAUCAAAGACAAUGGUGCAGAAAAAGAGAAUCUGCCCUCGCUUACUGGACUAUCUUGUGAUCAUUGGAGCCAGGCACCCAAGCAGUGAUAGUGUUGCUCAGACUCCUGAACUGCUGCGACGUUACCCUCUAGAAGACCACGCAGACUUUCCUCUCCCGCCUGAUGUUGUGUUCUUCUGCCAGCCCGAAGGAUGUCUGAGUGUGCGGCAAAAGCGCAUGAGCUUCCGUGAUGACACCUCCUUUGUCUUCACCCUCACGGACAAGGAUACAGGUGUAAUCCGCUAUGGAAUCUGCGUCAACUUCUACCGCUCCUUCCAGAAACGAGUACCCAAGGAGAAGGGAGAAGGCACGGGGGGACAUCGAGGUCGGGAGGGACAGAAGGUCCCUAAAUCUGGGGAUGCAUCAGCACCCCAAGAGGAAGUGGGCACUGAGAGUUCAGAGAGUGGUUCUUCACUGCAGGCUCCAAGUGCAGAAUCUACCCCUGAUGUGAAUCGAUCACCGCGCAGUAAGCGUCUGGCCAAAGGCAGCCAUCGCUCUCGGAACAGCACCCUGACUUCUCUGUGCAUCCUUAGUCAUUAUCCCUUCUUUUCCACAUUUCGUGAGUGUCUCUACACCCUCAAGAGACUUGUGGACUGCUGUAGUGAGAGACUGUUGGGCAAGAAGUUGGGCAUUCCUCGUGGGGUGCAGAGGGAUACAAUGUGGCGGAUUUUCACAGGCUCCCUCCUGGUGGAAGAAAAGUCUAGUGCAUUGCUACAUGACUUGCGGGAGAUUGAGGCUUGGAUAUACCGUCUGCUCCGGUCACCAAUGCCCGUUGCUGGUCAGAAGCGGGUGGAUGUGGAAGUCUUGCCCCAUGAGUUGCAGCCAGCUUUGACCUUUGCUCUGCCUGAUCCAUCCCGCUUCACUUUGGUGGAUUUUCCAUUACAUCUGCCUUUGGAGUUGCUGGGAGUGGAUGCCUGCCUGCAGGUGCUGACCUGCAUCCUUCUGGAGCACAAGGUUGUAUUGCAGUCCCGAGAUUAUAAUGCGCUUUCAAUGUCAGUGAUGGCCUUUGUGGCCAUGAUCUACCCAUUAGAGUACAUGUUCCCGGUGAUCCCUCUGCUUCCCACCUGCAUGGCCUCUGCAGAACAGUUGCUUCUAGCCCCUACACCUUAUAUCAUUGGUGUUCCAGCAAGUUUCUUCCUUUACAAACUGGAUUUUAAAAUGCCUGAUGAUGUUUGGCUAAUUGACCUGGAUACCAACAGGGUUAUUGUUCCCCCAAAUGCGGAAUCUUUGCCAGCACUGCCAGAACCAGAAGCUUCAGAGCUGAAAAAGCAUCUGAAACAGUGUCUGGUUAGCAUGACUGCAAUCACUCAGAAACAGCUGCUCACUCCUGACAACAAGGCCUUGGCCAGCAUGAGUCUGAAUACUCAGCCCAUUCUUAAUCUAGAGAAGUUCCAGGAGGGGCAGGAGGUGCCACUGCUGCUGGGAAGACCACAGAAUGAUUUGCAGUCUACUCCCUCCACAGAAUUCAACCCCCUGAUCUAUGGAAAUGAUGUGGACUCUGUUGAUGUGGCUACCAGAGUUGCUAUGGUGAGAUUCUUCAACUCGCCAAAUGUUUUGCAAGGCUUCCAAAUGCAUACUCGCACUCUUCGUCUCUUCCCACGACCAGUGGUGGCCUUCCAGGCAAAUUCUUUUCUUGCCUCUAGACCGAAGCAAACACCUUUUGCAGAUAAGCUCUCCAGAACACAGGCAGUAGAAUACUUUGGAGAGUGGUCCCUCAACCCUACUAACUAUGCUUUCCAAAGAAUUCAUAACAACAUGUUUGACCCAGCCCUGAUUGGUGACAAACCCAAGUGGUAUGCUCACCAGCUGCAGCCGAUCCACUAUCGAGUCUAUGACAGUAAUUCACAGCUGGCUGAAGCACUGAAUGUCCCAGCAGAGAAAGAAACAGAUUCUGAUCCCACCGAUGACAGCAGUGGCAGUGACAGUGUCGACUAUGACGACUCAAGUUCCUCCUACUCCUCCCUUGGUGACUUUGUCAGUGAGAUGAUGAAAUGUGACAUUAAUGGUGAUACCCCAAAUGUUGACCCCCUGACUCAUGCAGCCCUUGGUGAUGCUAGUGAAGUGGAAUUUGAUGAUUUUCAAGAAUAUUCAGGGGAUAUGGAUGAACAGACGAUGGACAGUGAGAACUCCCAAGAGAACAACCAGCCUCGUUCAAGUUCCAGUACUACAGCCAGUAGCAGCCCCAGCACUGUCAUCCAUGGAGCGAAUCAUUUGUAUGUAAUGCAAAUUAGCGAACAGAUCAAUGAUUUGACUGGUCCACAGGAGGCAGCAGACUCAGCAGAAAUAGAAGAGAAGUUGGCUGCUGGAUUUUCAAACCACCUCCCUUCCUUGUCACUGCAACCAAACUUUCCCAAGAUAAGCUUGGAUCGUCGUGAGAGUGACAUCACCGCUGGCAGCAUGAGCUCCUCAGAAGGGGUGGUGAGGAAGCGAGAGUAUGACAAUCCAUACUUUGAGCCACAGUAUGGUUUUCCUACAGAGGAUGAAGAUGAUGAGCAGGAAGAAAGCUACACCCCAAGAUUUAACCAGAAUCUCAAUGGAAGCAAGUCUCAGAAGUUACUCCGGCCAAACAGUUUAAAACUGGCCAGUGAUUCUGAUGCAGAUUCAGAUUCCAGGGCCAGCUCCCCAAACUCUACUGUCUCCAACAACAGCAGUGAAGGUUUUGGGGGCAUCAUGUCUUUUGCAAGCAGCUUGUACAGAAACCACAGCACAAGUUUUAGUCUAUCCAACUUAGCCCUACCAACAAAAGUUGGGAGAGACAAGAAUACUCCUUUUCCCAGCCUAAAAGAUUACUUUAAUCUGGAAUUGGGAAGGGAUGUGGAUGAAGUAUUUGGGGUAAAAACUAUAAUGGAGAUUAUUACUGAAGCUGGCCCAGUAAGCAAUGAAGGAAAUAGACGAGCUCUUGUGGAUCAAAAGUCUUCAGUCAUAAAGCACAGCCCAACAGUGAAGAGAGAAUCUCCAUCGCCUCAGGGACGAACUAGCAAUUCCAGUGAGAACCAGCAGUUCUUGAAGGAGGUGGUACACAAUGUUCUUGAUGGGCAGGGUGUUGGCUGGCUGAAUAUGAAGAGAGUCCGACGUCUGCUGGAGAGUGAGCAGCUCCGUGUCUUUGUACUAAGCAAGCUGAAUCGCACCAUCCAGUCAGAAGAAGACGCUCGACAGGAUGUCAUACAGGAUGUGGAGAUCAGCCGCAAGGUUUAUAAAGGCAUGCUGGACUUGCUGAAGUGCACAGUCUUAAGCUUGGAGCAUUCAUAUGCAAAUGCUGGCCUGGGAGGCAUGGCCAGUGUUUUUGGCCUGCUAGAAAUAGCACAUACUCACUAUUAUAAUAAAGAACCAGAAAAGAGAAAACGAAGUCCAACAGAUGGAUCUGUCACUCCAGUUGGCAAGGAUCCUGGAUCAUCCCCAAGAGUGGAGCCAAAACCUGCGAUGCAGCUGCCGGUACCUCAGAUAACGCCAAAGCCACCAAGCCCUGCAGGCAAAGGGCCAAGGGAGUUUGACACAAGAAGUCUAAAGGAAGAAAAUUUUAUUGCUUCCAUUGAAUUGUGGAACAAGCACCAGGAAGUGAAAAAGCAAAAAUCUUUGGAAAAAACGAGAACAGAAGGUGUGAAACAAUUUGAUUUGGGAGAAACAGAUGAGAAGAAAUCCCAAAUCAGUGCAGACAGUGGCCUCAGUUUGGCCUCAGGUUCUCAGAAGAGUGAUUUUGACUCUAUUCCCAGUGGAGGACCAACAGUUAUGGUCCGAAGUACAAGCCAGGAUUCUGAAGUCAGCACUGUGGUUAGUAACAGUUCUGGAGAGACGUUAGGAGCAGACAGUGACUUGAGUAGCAAUGCUGGUGAUGGCCCGAGUGUGGAAAAUGGUGGCAAUCUGGCAGGAUCCAGAGGCACUGUGUCAGACAGCGAAAUUGAGACAAACUCUGCUACUAGCUCUAUCUUUGCGAAGUCUCACAACCUGAAGCAGAGUGUGAAGGAUGGCAAAGGCAGUACUCCAGGGAGAGGUCCAGAGGAUGGGAACCAACGUGUCUAUCUAUAUGAAGGACUUUUGGGUAGGGAUAAAGGAUCUGUCUGGGACCAGUUAGAGGAUGCUGCAAUGGAAACCUUCUCUAUGAGCAAAGAGCGUUCAACUUUAUGGGACCAGAUGCAGUUCUGGGAAGAUGCUUUUUUGGAUGCUGUAAUGUUAGAGAGAGAAGGAAUGGGGAUGGACCAGGGACCUCAGGAGAUGAUUGACAGGUAUCUUUCCCUGGGAGAACAUGAUCGAAAGCGUUUGGAGGAUGAUGAGGACCGCUUGCUGGCUACACUGCUGCAUAAUAUGAUUGCCUAUAUGCUUAUGAUAAAGGUGAACAAGAAUGAUAUUAGGAAAAAGGUGCGGCGUCUAAUGGGGAAAUCACAUAUUGGAUUGGUGCACAGCCAGCAGAUAAACGAUAUUCUAGACAAACUUGCCAAUCUGAAUGGACGGGAACUCCCCGUGAGACCCAGUGGCAGCCGCCAUAUCAAGAAGCAGACUUUUGUAGUACAUGCUGGGACAGACACAACAGGAGACAUAUUUUUCAUGGAGGUAUGUGAUGAUUGCAUUGUGCUGAGAAGCAACAUUGGAACUGUAUAUGAACGUUGGUGGUAUGAGAAACUCAUCAACAUGACUUACUGUCCCAAAACAAAAGUGCUCUGCCUCUGGCGCAGGAAUGGUCAGGAGACGCAACUGAACAAGUUCUACACAAAGAAGUGUCGGGAACUAUACUACUGUGUAAAAGACAGUAUGGAGCGAGCAGCAGCAAGACAGCAAAGCAUUAAACCAGGCCCUGAGUUGGGUGGUGAGUUCCCUGUGCAGGAUAUGAAAACUGGUGAAGGAGGUCUUCUUCAGGUCACAUUGGAAGGAAUUAACCUGAAAUUUAUGCACAGUCAGGAGCGGAAGGUUUUCAUAGAGCUGAAUCACAUUAAAAAGUGCAAUACUGUGCGAGGAGUCUUUGUCCUGGAGGAAUUUGGUAAUUACAUUAUUUUGAUAUUAGGUCUGUACUCACAUGGCAGUAACUCAAAUUUCCAGUUUUCAGAUUCAGAGUUGCACUGCAAUUUCAAAGAUGGGAGAGAAUGUAGAUUGCACGUGAGAAGUUGCCUGAGAGAUAGGUGACAACAUAAAAAUUUACACAUUAAUUUUCAUCAUGUUAAGAUUUGUGACCUAGGUGCUUUUUCUUAUUAGAUAGAGAAAAUGUCCUGAGCCUUCUGAAGCAAACAAAACAACAGCUAGGCUUGGAUGUGUGUAGGAAUUUCCUUUGAUAUGUUUCUUUUUCAUCUGAGAAACCACACUUUUUAAGCAGGAUUUAAGGCUGAUCUUUCUCAACACACUAUGCUUCCAUUAAAAGAACUGCUGUUAAUUGCAAAGUUUCAUUUUUGCUCUAUGUGGAAUUUAAUUUUUGUUGUACGGAGCAGAAGAUGUUUUGUCAGGUUGCAAUUAAUUUAUCCUGUGAUCUUUGUUUUGGAGCCUGACUGGUAAAGGGUAGAAAACUAAAGGUAAAGGAGAACAGGGAAUUUGUACUGUUUUGGUCAGUUAUUGCUAUUGCAUAUAAUCUGCCUAAUGCUGUAGUUUGGGGAAAAUUCCAGGUUCCUCUUCAGUGUUAGUGCCAGACACGCUAUACUUAACUAGGGUCUGAAAAAAAUGAGUGACUUCAGAUGCUGCUCUCUGGAAGAGUGAUCCACAUACUUCUCUUGAAAUAGUCCCCAAAUCCGUAUUGGUUUAUUCUCCCACCCAUCUGUGAGACAUUUGUCCAGGUCUUAGGAGUAUUCAUGAAACAUUUAAAAAGAAGCUAAAUUUUGUGGCUUUCUUUCCAUAGUACAUCAGCACCCAUACUUUGGCCAUUAAUCAAAAUCUAAAUUAGCAGCUCCCAUUACCAAGACUCUUCUUGUUCUUUGGUAAUGUGUGUAGAAUGUUAUGGCUGAGGGAUUCUCCCUUAGAUUAAUGCAAGAUUUCUGAAAUAAAUGUCCUUUUCCAUAAUAAUGUGUUGUCUCCUUUUGGUGAUACAAAGUUCUAAGGUAUCCAAAUGAUAAACCCCUUCUGACUGUUGCAGUUUGCUUUCUAUUUACUAUAAAUCUCCAAGAAGUUUGGCUUUCAAUUCAUGAACGAUUUUGUCCCAUUUUUAAAAAAUGUUGUUCAUGAUUCAGAUGAUCAGAUCAGUAUAUUUAAAGCACCAAAAAAAUCCAGUAUUUUAUAUGUUCAGAAGGUGUCCUCAAUUUAUGGGUGCAUAUUCCUUUGAUAUCAUGUUUUCACCAUGAUGGGCAUGAAUCAUUUUAGUAAUAGAAAUUAUUCAAAUCAGUAAAAGAUUAUUAAGUUUUACGAAGAUGAGAAUUCAGAAGUCAUAAAAUUAGCUUAAAAAAUGGCUUCAGCUUCUGAAAUCUUUAACUUAAAAGAAAUUACUUGAAACAGAAAUUAAUUUUGGGUCACUUUUGAGAGGUUUUAAUGCAAAAUAUUUCUUAUAAUUGUUUAUAUUGCACAAGAUGAAAAGACAGUGUUUGACUUGGUUAUUUCUAGUCAACUUAUAUUGAUGACUCUGUAACACAGCAGUUAGCACCUAAAUAAUGUAUGUAAUAAAUAUAAGAAAAAGUCCUUUUUAUAAUCAAGGGCCUAUUGCAAAAGCUAGAAUUGUGAUAUGGAACUUAUAAAAGGGUAAUUUUCAGAGGUAAUUAAAAAUAAACUGGGAGUUGGAUUCUACAAGCACAAAUUGAGAAAUUAAACAUUUUAAAUUCAAAAUAUCCUCCUCCCAAAAUAGAUUCACAUAGAAGAACCAAUUUAAAUGUUCCAAAUGAGAUUUACAAUUUGCCAAUCCAGCUAAUAAAGAGAAAGAAGGAAAAAAGAUGUUGAAGGGGAGAUAACCUUUCUUUUUGUGCAGAGAUGAGAAACUACCUCAGAUCUGCUUUUAAAAUUGUUGUAAAGGUGAGAAGGUAUGCCAGUCUCUCCAGUUCAAGAUAAAUUAAAGUGUUUCUUAAUAGUAGACUAACAGCAUUCAGCAAAAACUAGCUUGGACUUCUUAAGAAUGAAGUUAUUUAGCUAUGUUAAACAUGAUGAACCUUGCCAUGAAAUUCAUUAUAGUAGGAGUAUAUUGAAGUAGUAGUUCCUUUUAGAAAGAUAGAGACUGGUAAGCCUGCAUACUCUAGUCUGAUGGGAAAUAGUUCAAUACAAGAUUUAUUUGAUUUUACGAAGUGUGAGUGCUCCAAAUUAGUGAUAUUGUAUCAGGAAAUUAAAGGUUUGUUUGUGUUAAUGCUGGGCUCAGAUGCAGCAUGGAAGUUGGACUUGUAGUUUCAGACCAGGAUGCAAGCAGAUGUUCAGGAAUUGUGCCCCACAAAUGGAAGUGGAAAUUUAAGCGAGGAAAUUUAAAAGUGUGGAAAUGUAA